CUCCUCCUCUGAGUUCUGUCCAGGAAACUUCCCAUUCAGCCGAAAUUGUUACAAAGUUCAGCUGGAAGUUUCCUUUUCCCUGUGGUCUUUUCCCAGUUCCCCUGUGAGCCCUCCCCAAGGACCUCUGCAAGAUAAAGUCAGAAAUGGCUUCCCUGGGGACUGAGAGAGCCCACAGGGCUCUUUCCACUGCAUCUUCGACCCCUAUAUUUUGCUUGGCUCUCUAAAUUUGUCUGAUCUCCAGGUGAUAUGCCUACUCCCCCUUCACCUUCGAUCAUGAUUGUAAACUUCGUGAGGACAUCACCAAAGGCUGACAUUGGCAACAUGCUUCCUGUACAAUCUGCAGAACAACGAUGGAACAAAAUAAACACCUUUUCUUUAUAAAUUACCCGGCUUCAUGUAUUCCUUCAUAACAAUGCAAAGCAGCCUAAUACAAAUUGUCAGUGAGUAGGCAGAUUUUCAGAAUGUAUGGCUAAUUGGAAUUUCCAUGGUCCUAUAUGAGAAGAGAUUUGAAGUAAUUCCAUAGAAUGUUAUGAGCGCCCUGGGAGAAGAAAAAGGGUGAUUUUUCAGAAGGAAAAGAGUGUAAGAAAAACAUGAAAUUCAAUUUUCCAAUGACAGUUCUG
rnacentral:lncRNA from 1 species